rnacentral:lncRNA from 1 species
GGUUUCUGGAGGGUGUGGCCCCCAGAGGGCAUGGAAGCUCUGCACCCCUGCUCCCAUACCUCACCCUACGCAUCUCCUCAUCUGUAUCCUUUGCAAUAUCCUUUGUAAUAAACCGGUUCAAAAAGGCCUUCUUUCAAACCUUCCCCAAAGCCUAUUUUCUGGAACACUAAAAACUCAGGCAAAUUUGAGGUCUAUCAAAUGUAAAAAGUACAGACUCUACUGUGAAUCUCAGAAAUUCUCUAAAUCAUAACACAUUCAAUAGCUGACAGAAGACUUUUGUUUCUCUUUUUCCCAGCAUUUGGGCUAAAGUGAUGAUACGCAAUGCAAGAACGAACUAGCACAACAUCAGUAAGAAAAAAAGGGUGAAAGCUACCUGUUACUACGAGAACAUUUGACUAGAAGUCAAGAAACUAGGAUUCGAGUUCCUGCUCCAGCAAUAAUCAGCUAUGGUUUUAGUUUCCUAAGUUGUACUUGAGUGACUGGAAGGAGAGCUAAACUAUAUACCAAAGAAGAUGAAUGGCUAGUUGUAACAGGGAAAAUUUUAUCAUAAUGAGCAUCAAAAGAAUCCCAAAUGAGAAAACUGCUUUUUGCAUAAGUGUAAAUUAAGAGAUGGAAGUCACAUUUCACCAUGGCAAACAUUUGCUGCAUGCAAAAUGACUGAAACAAGGUCUUGAUCUGUCACCAGGCUGAAGUGCAGUGGUACAAUCAAAGCUCACUGCAGUCUCAACCUCCUAGGCUCAAACAAUCCUCCCACUUCAGCCUCCCAACCAGCUGGGACCACAGGUUGACAUCACCACACCCAGGUCUGCUGGAAUUUGCUGGAGGUCCACUCCAGACCCUGUUUGUCUGGAUAUCACCAGCAGAGGUUGCAGAACAACAAAGAUUGCUGCCUGUUCCUUCCUCUGGAAGCUUUGUCCCAGAGGGGCACCCACCAGACGGCAGCUGGAGCUCUCCUGUUCCCUCUGCUAUGGCUCUUCCUCAGUAGAAACAACUGGCAACAAAAUUCAAGUUUAUGAUUCAUUCAUCAGCAAACAUGUGAGAAUCAUCUACAAAGAACCAAGAAUUGUGGAAGAUAAAUGAAUCAAAAGUUUUGUAAGAUUCUUCAUAAAGCAAUACAUAACAGAUAACAAACAUGGUUUUCUCAUCUAGAACUAUGGAAAAAAAGUGUACCAGAACAAAAUUUAUUUUCCUUUGCUAGUGUUGUACUUUGUGGUCUGUUACAGAAGUCUCGGUUUACUUCAAUUUCUGUUCUGCUUCUCUCUUUGGCACCAUCAGGAAACCCUAGCCCCGUGUCUAAAUUCAGAAGCCACACUAAUUAGGAUCGAUUUCUCCUAUUUCUCUUCUUUGUUUCUUGCAUAUCCAGAAUUCUAGAGCCCUUCCUCACAAUUCCAGUUAAGAUUUGACUGUGAAAACUCCAAAGCUUAACAUUCUAACCACUCUAGGGAGGGAGGAUGGGAGGAAGAGAGCUGAGUGUGCACCAAGGAGCGGUAAGAUGCCAGACCUGUGAGUGAAGAAGCAUCUUGGAAGUGGACCCUAUAGCUCCAGGCACCUGCUGACACAUAGUCGGAGACAAACCACCCAGUCAAGUUCAACCCAAAUUCCUGACCCAAAAAAUCAUAAGCAAAAUAAAAUAUUUGUUUAAAGCCA